GGGGAUUUGGCUGAGUGGUAGAGCACUUGCCUAGCAAGCGCAAGGCCCUGGGUUCGAUCCCCAGCUCCG
rnacentral:tRNA from 1 species